UCACAUGCGCUGCUGUCCCUUCGUACCUGCUCCUGCUCCUCCACUACCACAGUGCUUUCCCACUCUUCCUCGUCUCGAGUUCCGUGCCAUCCAUGUCCCACCAACACAUCCUAGCGACAACCUAAAGUCACUCCUGCUGCCAAAUGCCUCCUUCACUUCUACCUAAAUUCCUCUACCUGGACCUUUUCUAAAAGCCAAACAAACCCUGGAGUUCAGCUUCUCAGAAGGCAGGAAGAUCACCGGAACCCAGAAAUUUCAGACUGUCUCACAAAGAGAACACAACCAGAAAACAAAAAAACCAUUAUGCUUUGCACCCCUUCACAGAUAUCCUCCAUUCCUCAUAUCCCUUAUCUCACAUUUCCAAAAAGUUUUAGUGAAAGAAAACAGAAGGCCAUAAAAAGGACACAAAUGGAAUGGGUGAUGUCUAGAAAUGGCAGAAAUCCUUAGGGUACCAAGGGGAAAGCAGCAUGGUACCUGCUGAAGAGGCCGCCAGGCCAGAACUCCAGGAGACAGACGCGACAACCACAGACUCUUCAAUGUGAAAUGAGUCUAAGAUCAGGGCAGGAAGAUCUUAUAUAUGCCGGCCCCGCCCACGCCCGUGGAGUUGCACACGACCCUUUUGGGGCUGUACCCUGGUAUCACCUCCCCUUCCCCGCCACUCCCUAAUAGGAGGAUUCUGUUGCCUUAACCAAUCCUGUUGGUCCUGGGGGAGGGGAAAAUGGAAGGAACACCGAAUUUGAACAAAGUGGCGGGAGGUUUGGACUAAAGUUUGUUUUAGUAGACACCACCAAGCUUAGCAUGUGUCAUGCCAGGCCCUGCAGCCAUUGGUUCUCCUGUUUCACGUGUCUGUGCCUCAUUGGCUACUAGCCGUGAUGCGAUGGUCAUCAGUUACUCUUAUUUGUAUAUUCAAAUAGUGAAAAGUGGGUGUAACUGUCUAACUGUACAGGCUGAGCACUAAGUAUGUGUCUGAUUGGAAUAUAUAGGGCCCAGCACAAAAUACAAGCCCAGCAGGGACUUCAUAACUGAAAGUUACAUAUUACCUGUUUAUUCUUUAUUAGGUUCUGCUGUCGAGCUGGAAGGCGACUAUUACAAGUUUCUUGCGUUUCUCCGGCGCAAAAAAAAAAAAAAAAAAAAAAAAAAAAAA